rnacentral:rRNA from 1 species
AGCGUACACGGUGGAUGCCCUGGCAGUCAGAGGCGAUGAAGGACGUGCUAAUCUGCGAUAAGCGUCGGUAAGGUGAUAUGAACCGUUAUAACCGGCGAUUUCCGAAUGGGGAAACCCAGUGUGUUUCGACACACUAUCAUUAACUGAAUCCAUAGGUUAAUGAGGCGAACCGGGGGAACUGAAACAUCUAAGUACCCCGAGGAAAAGAAAUCAACCGAGAUUCCCCCAGUAGCGGCGAGCGAACGGGGAGCAGCCCAGAGCCUGAAUCAGUGUGUGUGUUAGUGGAAGCGUCUGGAAAGGCGCGCGAUACAGGGUGACAGCCCCGUACACAAAAAUGCACAUGCUGUGAGCUCGAUGAGUAGGGCGGGACACGUGGUAUCCUGUCUGAAUAUGGGGGGACCAUCCUCCAAGGCUAAAUACUCCUGACUGACCGAUAGUGAACCAGUACCGUGAGGGAAAGGCGAAAAGAACCCCGGCGAGGGGAGUGAAAAAGAACCUGAAACCGUGUACGUACAAGCAGUGGGAGCACGCUUAGGCGUGUGACUGCGUACCUUUUGUAUAAUGGGUCAGCGACUUAUAUUCUGUAGCAAGGUUAACCGAAUAGGGGAGCCGAAGGGAAACCGAGUCUUAACUGGGCGUUAAGUUGCAGGGUAUAGACCCGAAACCCGGUGAUCUAGCCAUGGGCAGGUUGAAGGUUGGGUAACACUAACUGGAGGACCGAACCGACUAAUGUUGAAAAAUUAGCGGAUGACUUGUGGCUGGGGGUGAAAGGCCAAUCAAACCGGGAGAUAGCUGGUUCUCCCCGAAAGCUAUUUAGGUAGCGCCUCGUGAACUCAUCUCCGGGGGUAGAGCACUGUUUCGGCAAGGGGGUCAUCCCGACUUACCAACCCGAUGCAAACUGCGAAUACCGGAGAAUGUUAUCACGGGAGACACACGGCGGGUGCUAACGUCCGUCGUGAAGAGGGAAACAACCCAGACCGCCAGCUAAGGUCCCAAAGUCAUGGUUAAGUGGGAAACGAUGUGGGAAGGCCCAGACAGCCAGGAUGUUGGCUUAGAAGCAGCCAUCAUUUAAAGAAAGCGUAAUAGCUCACUGGUCGAGUCGGCCUGCGCGGAAGAUGUAACGGGGCUAAACCAUGCACCGAAGCUGCGGCAGCGACGCUUAUGCGUUGUUGGGUAGGGGAGCGUUCUGUAAGCCUGUGAAGGUGUACUGUGAGGUAUGCUGGAGGUAUCAGAAGUGCGAAUGCUGACAUAAGUAACGAUAAAGCGGGUGAAAAGCCCGCUCGCCGGAAGACCAAGGGUUCCUGUCCAACGUUAAUCGGGGCAGGGUGAGUCGACCCCUAAGGCGAGGCCGAAAGGCGUAGUCGAUGGGAAACAGGUUAAUAUUCCUGUACUUGGUGUUACUGCGAAGGGGGGACGGAGAAGGCUAUGUUGGCCGGGCGACGGUUGUCCCGGUUUAAGCGUGUAGGCUGGUUUUCCAGGCAAAUCCGGAAAAUCAAGGCUGAGGCGUGAUGACGAGGCACUACGGUGCUGAAGCAACAAAUGCCCUGCUUCCAGGAAAAGCCUCUAAGCAUCAGGUAACAUCAAAUCGUACCCCAAACCGACACAGGUGGUCAGGUAGAGAAUACCAAGGCGCUUGAGAGAACUCGGGUGAAGGAACUAGGCAAAAUGGUGCCGUAACUUCGGGAGAAGGCACGCUGAUAUGUAGGUGAGGUCCCUCGCGGAUGGAGCUGAAAUCAGUCGAAGAUACCAGCUGGCUGCAACUGUUUAUUAAAAACACAGCACUGUGCAAACACGAAAGUGGACGUAUACGGUGUGACGCCUGCCCGGUGCCGGAAGGUUAAUUGAUGGGGUUAGCGCAAGCGAAGCUCUUGAUCGAAGCCCCGGUAAACGGCGGCCGUAACUAUAACGGUCCUAAGGUAGCGAAAUUCCUUGUCGGGUAAGUUCCGACCUGCACGAAUGGCGUAAUGAUGGCCAGGCUGUCUCCACCCGAGACUCAGUGAAAUUGAACUCGCUGUGAAGAUGCAGUGUACCCGCGGCAAGACGGAAAGACCCCGUGAACCUUUACUAUAGCUUGACACUGAACAUUGAGCCUUGAUGUGUAGGAUAGGUGGGAGGCUUUGAAGUGUGGACGCCAGUCUGCAUGGAGCCGACCUUGAAAUACCACCCUUUAAUGUUUGAUGUUCUAACGUUGACCCGUAAUCCGGGUUGCGGACAGUGUCUGGUGGGUAGUUUGACUGGGGCGGUCUCCUCCUAAAGAGUAACGGAGGAGCACGAAGGUUGGCUAAUCCUGGUCGGACAUCAGGAGGUUAGUGCAAUGGCAUAAGCCAGCUUGACUGCGAGCGUGACGGCGCGAGCAGGUGCGAAAGCAGGUCAUAGUGAUCCGGUGGUUCUGAAUGGAAGGGCCAUCGCUCAACGGAUAAAAGGUACUCCGGGGAUAACAGGCUGAUACCGCCCAAGAGUUCAUAUCGACGGCGGUGUUUGGCACCUCGAUGUCGGCUCAUCACAUCCUGGGGCUGAAGUAGGUCCCAAGGGUAUGGCUGUUCGCCAUUUAAAGUGGUACGCGAGCUGGGUUUAGAACGUCGUGAGACAGUUCGGUCCCUAUCUGCCGUGGGCGCUGGAGAACUGAGGGGGGCUGCUCCUAGUACGAGAGGACCGGAGUGGACGCAUCACUGGUGUUCGGGUUGUCAUGCCAAUGGCACUGCCCGGUAGCUAAAUGCGGAAGAGAUAAGUGCUGAAAGCAUCUAAGCACGAAACUUGCCCCGAGAUGAGUUCUCCCUGACUCCUUGA